UUCCUACGGGGCGCAGCAGUGGGGAAUAUUGCACAAUGGGCGAAAGCCUGAUGCAGCAACGCCGCGUGAAGGAAGAAGGGUUUCGGCUCGUAAACUUCUAUCAACAGGGACGAAAGAAAUGACGGUACCUGAAUAAGAAGCCCCGGCUAACUACGUGCCAGCAGCCGCGGUAAUACGUAGGGGGCAAGCGUUAUCCGGAUUUACUGGGUGUAAAGGGAGCGUAGAAGGUCCUGCAAGCCAGAUGUGAAAGCCCGGGGCUCAACGCCGGGACUGGAUUUGGAAGUGUAAGGGUAGAGGGUGG
rnacentral:rRNA from 1 species